rfam:Acanthisitta chloris contig50949, whole genome shotgun sequence.
GUGGGCUAUGGAGAUAUGUGUCCCACCACCCUGGGGGGGAAGAUUGUGGGGACUCUUUGUGCCAUUGCAGGAGUGUUGACCAUAGCUCUGCCUGUCCCUGUCAUUGUCUCCAAC